rnacentral:rRNA from 1 species
UACGUAGGCAGCAAGCGUUGUUCGGAAUUACUGGGCGUAAAGCGUGUGUAGGCGGUUGGGUAAGUCUGGUGUGAAAUCUCCCGGCUCAACUGGGAGGGUGCGCCGGGAACUGCCUGGCUGGAGUGCGGAAGAGGAGAGUGGAAUUCCCGGUGUAGCGGUGAAAUGCGUAGAUAUCGGGAAGAACACCCGUGGCGAAGGCGGCUCUCUGGGACGGUACUGACGCUGAGACGCGAAAGCGUGGGGAGCGAACAGG